ACAGUUGGGUGUGGCGGGCGUGUUUUCAAUCUCCUUUAUUUCCAAAUUUUCCCACUAAUAAUCGUCAUUUGAAAAUCCACUUGAAAGAAAGAAAAAAGAACCGGCGAAAGUCAAAAGCCCUGUUACGUAAUGAGGAACCGAAGGGUUGCUCAGGUGUCCACUAGCGACGACGAGGAUGAAGUACCGAUGACUCGCAGACGGUCUCGGUCCGAAGAUAAGAGACCAGAAAGGAAGAGGAAGAAAAUGAAGUUACAAGACGAAGACGAAGAAGAGGAUGAUGAACAGAUGGAAUCCAAUAAGAGGAAGAAGAAGAAAAAGCAAGACGAGGAAGAAGAAGAAGAGCCGGAGGAAGAGGGAAUUCAGGAGGAUGCCAAGCCGAUAGGGAAAGUCGUUAGGGUUUCGGGGAAAGGGAGAGGGAGGAGGAGUCAUUAUGAGAGUUUUGAGUUUGAUGGCAAUCGAUAUGAUCUCGAGGAUCCGGUUCUUUUAGUUCCUGAAGAUACAAAGCAAAAGCCUUAUGUGGCUAUCAUUAAGGACAUUAGUCAGACUAAAGAUGGGAGCAUUAUGGUUACUGGGCAGUGGUUUUAUCGCCCUGAAGAGGCUGAGAAAAAAGGUGGUGGAAGCUGGCCAUUAAAUGAUACAAGAGAACUUUUCUAUAGCUUCCACCGUGAUGAGGUUCCAGCAGAAUCCGUGAUGCACAAGUGUGUGGUUCACUUUGUUCCCAUACACAAGCAAAUUCCAAACCGUAAAGAGCAUCCAGGUUUUAUUGUGCAGAAGGUCUAUGACACAGUGGAACAGAAGCUUUGGAAGCUGACUGAUAAAGAUUAUGAGGAUAAUAAACAGCAUGAGAUUGAUCUUCUUGUUCAGAAAACUUUAUCGCGAUUGGGAGACCUUCCUGACCUUGAGUUUGAUUCUACUGCUGCAGUUUUUGAUCAGGAAGAGCAGUUGAAGGCAAAAAGAACUCUCAGAAAAAAGAACAUUUCACCCCUUGAUGUUACCAGGAAUGAUGAAGGAAGUACCAGGUCUGAUCAAAGUUUGAAAGCUGAAACACCUGGAAGCUGUCCAAGUAAUACCAAUGAAUAUUACACAAUUUUGUCAAAAGCUAAGGUGCUAACUGGAGAAACCCAUCGUGAUAAGUGGAUGACCAGGCUUCUUCAAGGAGUUCAGUACAUGUGUAGUUGUCCUGAUGGCUUGGAACGUGAAAGAGACAUUAAGAGUCCAAGAACUGCUAAUGGAUCUCAAGAGAAGAGUUCAAAUAGUGGCAAAUCUUUUACAUGGCCAGAUGCUGCUGUUCCUGCUAUCACUGCCCUCGAGAAGGCCUCACAUGAUGCACUUUGUUCUGAUUUCCAGAAGUAUAACCAGAAGUUACGGCAGCUUGAGUUCAAUCUGAAGAACAAUGCAUUGCUAGCUCGUCGUUUACUAAAUGGAGAAUUAGAACCUUCAACAAUACUGAACAUGUCGCCAAAUGAGUUAAAGGAGGGUUUAACUGCAGAAGAGACGGCCAAAAAAGAGCCUGAUGAGUCAGAGCGCAUGCAGAUGACUGAUGCUCGGUGCUCAAGAUGCAUGGAAUUUAAAGUUGGUCUAAGGGACAUCAUCCAAGCAGGACAUGGAGACCGUUACCAGUUGGAAUGUGGUGCUUGUGGACAUUCCUGGUAUGCUUCUAGAGACGAGGCUGCUUCACUUACAAUAGAGCCCUCACUGCCAAAGUUGCCGGUAAGGAGUGAUCAGCCACAGCUAAGCCUGAAAAUUCAGAGAAGAAGCUAGUUAGUCUCCGUGAGUCAGAAUCUACAGUGAAGGUAGAGUAGGAAAAUCACUACGGUUAGGAACAAAAUUGACCAUUUGUACAGUUGAAUGGCGAUCUAGUGAUAGUUAAAACCCAGAGUACAUACGCAUAUACAUUACAUCCACACGAAGGUUAGGAUAUAACAUUGAGGUUUCAGCAAAGAAUUAUUAUUGAUCUCUGCUGAAACAAGUCGAAUUAACCAGUAUUAUUUUUACAAGGUACUGAAUAUAUAGUAGCACAAUGUACAAAAAUCAAUUUAGAUCCCCAUUUUGAGCCAUAAGAUUAUUUUCACCAUUUUCUUCUUACCGGUUAUUUUUAAGCAACUUUGCCAAGAAACGCGGCUAGAGCCAUCUGAAGUAAAGGGGUGGCUAACAUAAUGGAGUGGGGUUGCGUAGGUUGGCGCCUACGCCAUCAAUCUUUUUUUGAAAGGAUUAUUAUGGCGGCCAUGUUUUGUAUGGGUGGUUGCCCAGCUGUAGUAGUUAAUGCUACUUUUAUAGCAAGAGAAGAGAUUCCAUUUU